rfam:Listeria innocua Clip11262 complete genome, segment 4/12
AACUGAAUAGAAGCGCCAGAACUGAUUGGGACGAAAAUGCUUAAAGGUGAAAUUCCUGGAAAGUAAACAAUCAGUUGACGAGGAGGAGAUUAAUCGAAAUUUCGGCGGGAGUCUCCCGGCUGUGCAUGCAGUCGUUAAGUCUUACUUACAAAUCAUUUGGGUGACCAAGUGGACAGAGUAGUAAUGAAACAUGUGC